CUUCGGUCCAGGGCAUCUAGUAUUUUUACGACAUUGACUCAUCAAAAGUGAUUCUUCAAAGUACAGUGGUGGGAGCACGAAGAAAGGGUCGUCCAGAGAAAAGCUGACUGGACAACGUGAAAGAAUGGACCUGCCUCUCUCUCUUGAUAUCCUGCUAAGAACAACUGCUGACCAGAAAAAGUAGAGGGAUUUGGUUAAGUGAACUGUGACAGAACCCCCUACAAUGAAAGUCAAGGGGCAGAUAAGAUGAUGAUUAGUUUCUAAUUUCGAAUAUUUUAUUUUAUUACUUCCUUUAUGUAAGUGGCAAACUUUGUGACAGCUUCUCAUAGACAUUAGGAGUAUAUGUAUAUAUAUAUUAGUGACAAACGUUUUAAUUAACUUCCCCUCUCAAUACCACCCAUCCCACUCCUCAGCCGUAAAAUAUUUUUAAUUGUAGAUUUCUUAUUUUAAUGAAAGCCAUUAAAAAAAAACAACAACAAUUAGGCCAGAUUUUGACGAGAAGAUAAGAUCCACUGAUUACGAUUGCAAUUUUUCUUUUCUUAAGAACGACUUAGACCUUAAACAAUUAGUUCUGAAUCAUUGCUGUCAACAUGAGACUCUUGGUUUGUUUAGCUUUGACUGUUUUUGUGUCAGUGACACUGUCAGCGCCGUCCUUCAAGCGAGGCUUCUGUCUGUCGCUGUGUGGCUCGGUCAACAACGUGACGUGCCCCUCGGGCUACGAGUGUCGCUCCAAUGGCUGCGGGCACCAGUGUUACAAGACAACGUUCGUGCAACCAGCAGGUUGUUCCGAGUUGGUCUGCGCUCUGAAUUGUCCUCUGGGUUAUGCCCGAACUGACCAAGGUUGUGAAAUAUGCCAGUGUGACUAUUCCAGACUUGGUUGACAGAACAAAGGGAAAGAAUAUUGAACGCUGUAAGAUUUACAAGAACUAGCGAAAUAAAUGUUUGGCAACAGUAUAAUUAAAACAAGUCACACUAAUCUGUA